CCGAACACCCUAAGCAACGUCUUAUUAUAACCCGAACGCCACUCACGGUCGUCGUAUUUCUGGCUCGCUUUGACGUCGCGAAGAUGACGUCACCCGGCGGAACGGCGGCGGCCGCGCUCGACUCCAUCGCUCGCUCCUUGGCCGAGAUAUGCGGCGACUGCGAUGGCGGAGGGGAUCACCGAUGGGACCCGCCGCGACGCUUUUCUGACUUCGCCCGACGGCUAGAGGCGGUCGUCCGCGGCCUCGCUGGCGCGCCGGAGCUGUUGUCCUCCCCGGCCGUCCGCACCGCCCUCGGGGGCGUUGCCGCGGAUCUCGAUGCGUCCCGUCCCACCCUCUCCGUUUACCGUGGUCGGAGCCCCAUCUACAUCCUCAUCCAUUGCGUCCCCCUCUCCGACGCUCUCCGCGGUCGCGUUGCCUCCCUCGCGGCAUGGCUUGCCCUCCUCGACUCCCCGCUAGCCUCCCUUCCGGACUUACGCAAGAAGGCCACCGACCUCUCCCGCGACAUGGACCAAACCGAUCUCAAGGUGACGGAGACCGAGGAGAGGGUUUACUCAAGCCUCCAAAGGGAAGCAAAAGAGGUGGUCCAGAGCAGCAAGGCCGUGCAAAGUGCCACCGUCAUGGACCUCGCUCGCGCCCUCGGAAUCGAUCCUGCUGAUCACGGCAAGCUCGGGGAGCAAAUCAAGCUCUUGAGAGCCGACCUCUCUGGCCUUAGCUCCUUGGCCGAGAGACGGAUCCUGAUCUCUCUUGAGAAGAUCUUGGAUGACUGGUCAAAGGAGCCCUGCAUUGCUGAUGGCUUGGUCACUGCCAACUUCGAGGAAGAAGCCCAGAUUCCGCCCUUUAAGAAUUUCCUUUGUCCCCUCACCAAGGGGGUGAUGAAGGACCCCGUGGUUCUCGAAUCGUCCCAAACAUAUGAGCGCGCAGCUAUCUGUCAUUGGUUUGAUCGCUGCUUGGAGGAUGGGCGUGACCCGACCUGCCCCGUCACAGGGAAGGUGCUCCAUUCGCUGGAACUGAGGCCCAACAUUGGACUUGCGGGUGCAAUCGAAGAGUGGGUUAAUCGCAAUGUUGAAAUCCAGAUAAACUCAGCAUUGCAGUAUCUCGCUGAAGAAUCUUCUUGCCCGGUGGAGUGCAUAUUGACGGUGCUGGAUAAUGUUUAUAGGAUCUCGGAGGAGCACCCAUCGUGCCAGUACAAGGUGAGGAAUGCAGGAAUCGUCGCUCUCGUGGUGAAGUUGCUGAAGGACCAGUCAAGUAGGAUGGGAUCGGAGUUGAGAGGCAAGACCCUAAUGGCCAUGCAUAGCAUGGCAAAAGAUGGCGAAAGCAAGCUAAUCAUGCUUGAACAAGGUAUUACUAGACUGGCAAUACGAAGCCUUACUGGGCGGUCAGAAAUGGAAAAAGAGUAUGCUUUGAAGCUAUUGCUUGAAUUCUCCAUUGAUACAGACUGUUGCACCAGAAUAGCACUGGAGAAAGGGGCUUUAGUUCUUCUCUCGAGUAUGGCUGCAAAUUCAGACCAUCCCACAUCAUCCAAUUUAGCUGAAGAAGUACUAAAAAACUUGGAAAAAGUGGAGGACAAUGUUCAGCACUUAGCCAUGGCUGGAAGGUUUCAACCAUUAGUGGCUCGGUUGUGCAAUGGCACUGUGGAUGUUAGACUGGAGAUUGCAACUCUUGUGGGAAAAAUGAGUUUAACAAACAAUGGAAAAGACUAUAUUGCUAGACAAGGAGGUCGAAUACUGAUCAAUAUGCUCUCAUCCAACCAAGAGCAGCAGGAAGCUAGUUUGCAUGCCUUGUAUAAUCUGUCAACCUUGGAUGACAAUGCUGCUAUACUAGUUGAUUUUGGAAUACUUCCAACACUUAUGGAUAUUCUUUUUGCGACACAGCAAGAUGCUCCAUCUGAGAUUAAAGAAUUGGCGGCAUCAACAGUUGCAAACAUUGUCUCCAUAUCUGGGCACUGGGAACUAUCAUUUGGCGAUAAAGAAGGACAUCAAAUACAAUCAGAAUUUAUUAUCCGAAAGCUACUGGAUGUUCUGUCUCAUUCACCUUGCAAAUGCCAGGCUGCUGUUCUUCAUAUUCUAUGUGGCAUUGCUUCUUCUCCCAGAGCAUCAGAUAUGGCAGCUUCUUGUAUUGAAAGUAGUGGUGGCCUUAAAAUUGUAGUACAGUAUAUUGAAUACUCAGAGAUUGACCAUAGAGUGAAUGCUUUUAGACUUCUAAACCUGUUAUCUGAAAAGCUGGGGCAAGUUCUUGCUGAAGAACUUAGAGCUUCUAACAAGAUUGUCUCACUCAAGGGAAAAUUGCUAGAUGCUCAUAGCUCUCUUGAGGAGAGAUGUGAAGUUGCAGGGCUACUUGCCAACCUUCCCAUCUUAGAUGAUGAAGUGAAGACAGUUCUCGGAUCCGAUCUUCUUACAUGGAUAAUUAGUCACAUUAGAGAGGAACAAUCCAUUUCUUCUGGAAGGAACUCUAAAAAGGUCAGAAGAAUGUUGGAAGGGCUUCUUGGCCUUCUAUUGCAUUAUGCAAAGACUCCCGACCCAACAAUAAUUACCCUAGUCCAAGAAAAUCAGUUCAUGAGAAUCUUUCGAGAACAACUGAACAGUCGUCCACAUAGCAGAGCAAAGCAGCGAGCUGUCCUUGGUCUGAAAUACCUUUCUGAGUUUGCAAGGGUAUCAGUAGCCACUGAUCUCUUAGAACCUCAACCACCCCGUGGACUUUGUUCUCCCUUGGUGUUAUUAUGUGGAAUGGCACCAAUGGUUCCUAUAUUAUGUCCACUACAUAAUGUUCCAUGUGACGGAAACAGCUCUUUUUGUUUACUAAAAGGAAAUGCAGUCAAGCCACUGAUUGAUCUUAUGAAUGAUGAGAAUGUAGACGUUCAGUUAGCUGCAGUGGAAGCACUUUCCACGAUUCUUUCAGAUGUUCAAAACCUUAAGAAUGCAAAAGAAGAGCUGGAACAGCUUGGACUUUUUAGAGCUGCAAUAUACCUUUUCAAAGAGGUUCGACCAGGAAAACUUCAAGAAAAAGUGGCACUGAUGGUAGAAAGGUUCUUUCAAGUUGAGGCCCUUGCUCAAGAUUAUUCAACCGAUCAAGAUCUUGUGAUGGCAUUGGUUGGAGCUAUGAAGCAUGGGAAUGCCAACACCAAGAAGCAUGCUCAGGAUGCUCUGGCCAACUUGAGAGUGUUGUCUGGUGUAGGAGGCAAACCAAGUUCAAAUCAUGGUAAAAGAAGUAACAGAUGACUCAUCCCUUCGAUGACUCAUAACUUCUUAAUAGACUGAGUGUAUUAUGGUUUGUACCAGCGAAAAUACUUUGUGAAGGAGACCCACGGAAAUGCAAACUUAUUAGAUUCUGAAUCGAUCAUGGUUUUUUGUGGAAGUUAGCUCAUUGUUGGAAACAACAGCAGGGACAGACUCUGAGGCACCAAACAUGUUCAACAUGGAGAUGUCUGAGUAAAUUUUCUCUGCUGUCAGAAUUGAUGUACACAGAAUAAUCACAUCAUCAGUUGAAACAUGAGAUUGCGAGGUGCCACUGACCCUAGUACAUCUGACCGGCAGUUGGUCAAGACAACCAUAAGAAGGUUUUCAUGCUGCUGGAUGUGUAGCCAUUUGAUUGCCAAAAUGCUGAUACUAUCACAACGAAGGGUAACAACGCCUGAGAGUGCUGAACCAUGAUCUUCACAAGAAUGCAGGAGAUUAAUUUAUGCAACAAAGAAUGUUCAAAUGGAACAUACUUGAUGGUUGGCUGUAAACAUUCUGCUCUGGAGUAAUAACAGCUAUUUCAUGAAUCUAUCUGGAAAAUUGAGGCCCUGCUGCAUGUGAUACAAAACUCUAGGAAGCACUCUCACUUUGGAGGCCAAUUGGAGCAGGCAGAUGUAUGAUUUGUUUUUGUUACAGAAGCCCUGAAACUUAUUUGUUGAUGUUUUACCUGAUCCAUUCAUAUUGUUUCAAGCUACACUGCCUGAUGUAUCAAUUGCAUAAACAAUGAAUCAGGUCAGUCACAGUUCAUCAAA